AUUUUGAAAUCAGACAACUUAAGUCUUUGUUUGAAUACACAAAAUUUGAAAAACAACAAACCUAUUGAUCAAACUUAGUACUGUCUUUUUAUAUGUAGAGUACCAUAAGCUGCUCUGGCAUGGUGGACGUUAUUAAAUUUUCCAGUCAUUCACUGUCGUGUUAGAUUCAGAGCCAUAAGAGAGUGAAAGCUAGUAUAAGUUUAGAUCUCUUCAUUUUUUCUCACAGAGCCAAAAAGGAGUGAAAUUUAACAGUCUGCGAGAAGGCGAAUCCUGCUAAAGGUAAUCAUCAUCGGCGACAGCGGGCAAGGCAAUUCAAUAUUUCGUCAUUAUAUCAGGUCCUCCACUGCGAACUACACAAUGUCAUUUUUCACUGUGUCACUGAAGAGUUGAUCUUGCCCAACUUGCUCUUUGGUUAGUUUAUUUGCUAAGACAAUAUCUUCAGGAAUUACAGGUUACCAGGGGACAGGGCUACUUGGAGACUCCGGAGACUGGUAUUGGUACUGGUACGACUAAUUUUCAAAAAUAGGAGAUGGGAGUAUUUGGAGAUGCCAAUUUUUUUAAAGUAUAAUUUAAUAAUUUCCAUAACAUAUCAUGACAGAGAACUUUGAAAACAAGAACAGUGGUAAAGUUUAACAUUAACUUUAAAAUUGAACAAAAAUUGAAAUUAAAAUUGCUUAUUUUGCUGAUACC